GACGAACGCUGGCGGCGUGCUUAACACAAGCAAGUCGAACGAGGCCCCUCCUUCGGGAGGGUGUCCUAGUGGCGAACGGGUGAGUAACACGUGGGCAACCUGCCCCCGGCUCUGGGAUAACCCCAAGAAAUUGGGGCUAAUACCGGAUAUGACCGCUGACCGCAUGGUCGGUGGUGGAAAGUUUUUUCGGCUGGGGAUGGGCCCGCGGCCUAUCAGCUUGUUGGUGGGGUAGUGGCCUACCAAGGCGACGACGGGUAGCCGGCCUGAGAGGGUGACCGGCCACACUGGGACUGGGACACGGCCCAGACUCCUACGGGAGGCAGCAGUGGGGAAUAUUGCGCAAUGGGCGGAAGCCUGACGCAGCGACGCCGCGUGGGGGAUGACGGCCUUCGGGUUGUAAACCUCUUUCAGCGGGGACGAAGCGAAAGUGACGGUACCUGCAGAAGAAGCACCGGCCAACUACGUGCCAGCCGCCGCAGUAA
rnacentral:rRNA from 1 species